rnacentral:tRNA from 1 species
GCCUGGGUGGCUCAGUCGGUUGAGCGUCCGACUUCGGCUCAGGUCAUGAUCUCGCAGUCCGUGGGUUCGAGCCCCGUGUCAGGCU